GAAUUAUAGGGCGUCUACUUGUAGAGCCUGACCUCCACUUCUAACACUGUGCACUUGAUGGCGAGGUAAUGGAACUUUCGAGUGAAACUACCUUGCGGCUUCAUUUUAAACAUUAGUCAAAGUAUGUAAUGAAAUAAAAAACAAAAAAAAACUUUCAACAACGGAUCUCUUGGCUCU
rnacentral:misc_RNA from 1 species